CCAUGCAAAGCAAUAACCAGUGUUCUUUCACUCCUACCAGGUCCACAAAUAUCUCCAAGAGCCUGCACUGAACCCUUGUCUCUGUGGUUUGUCCAGCCUGGAUUUUUAUUCACAUAUGGUGACUGUAACAUUAUGAAGAAGGGAAUUCUUUGAGACAGAACGAACUCAUUGCUGUCCUGGGGAUAAUAAAACACCAAAUAGAGGCAACUGUCCUGCUCCCUUUGUAAAGCUGCCUGUGAGAGAUUGGAGAAAUGGGAUGGACAUGACUCAAUACACAAAAGAUAUGAUUCAACAGCAGCAUCUUCCCAUGUGGUAUCCAAAGCGAUGAAAUUGACUCUGAAAGUAGUGCCAGUGUUCUCCUCUGUUGGCCCCUCUUCCAUUUCUGGAUUUCCAGAGGAUGUUUUUCUAAAGACCUGUGAUUCGUACAUGCCAAAUCAGCAGGUCUGACAGUCCUAUCAAUCAUAACAAAACUGCCUCAGGGGCUGAGUAAGGACUUGCAAGACAUCUU
rnacentral:lncRNA from 1 species